ACUUUAUCGGGUGGCGUACCAAAGGAGUAGGGGGGAGGGUUGUGGGGGAUCCAGUUGGUGUACAAACUGAGGUAACACGUGGUAUACUCCGUUGCUCCGCCUUGUUGAGAGUGAAAACUUUCAACGGCUUUCUUUGACUUCGGGGAUAAAGUCAACUCAACGGUCUUCAAAUUAUGUAUUUAAAAAAUAAAAAUAUGGAAAGUUUUAACAUAAGCAUACUGGUAGCUUUUGUACAGAACGAACUUGCCAGAGGUAUUACCUAAUCAUGAGCAGAAGGUUGGCCCCUUUAGGUUUAUCUUUCCAGUCCAGAAAACUGCGGUCCUGCGGUGUUAAGUAUCAGUGUUUGUAUACAGCACUGGUGGCUUCACAUCCACGGAAGAACAAUUUUAUUUAUAGGGAAAAUGAUUAAAACACAAACAUGUGAAUGGUCUUGUACAUUAUUAGGAGUAUGCUUGAAAAACAAGAUUACGAGUGUAUACGGAUUCAGUUGCUGCGAGAAAAUGUUGCAGCCAUACAUUGGGGUCGAAUUUGCAUCCCUGGACUCUCCAGGCACCAUGCUAUGUACUACAAAUGAUGCACCUACAGUUUUUAAGGAAAAUUUACAGGACUUAAAAAUCAAGUGGAUUUGUAAUGAGAGGUAACGAGGACGCUGCUAUUAGCAACUAUGACAGUACUCCACCGCAUCGUGAGUGGCAAUGUGUGGGAAGAUGGCUCGUAUGGUGAUCUGGCAUCUGUUCCCAGUCUUCAUAGCAGUCAGAUCAGGUUACAGUGGAUUAAAUAAGGAUCAACUUCUGUCUACAGCAUCAGUACAGCGAAUCUAAGGACAUAAUCCUCAGCUGUACAGAACAUAAUACAAGAAAGAAUGUUUGGCACAAAUAAAACACUGGCAUUUUCAGGAAUCUUGGCAUUUGUCCUCUACUGGAAUGGAACUCUUCAGAAAAUUUCAUGCUUCGUUUCCUCCAGUCUCUUUUCAUCCUCCUUUUAUCUCUUUCCUUCCACAUAUUUUCUUAAUCUUGUACCUGUGAAUGAAGAUACUGCAUCACAAAUGGAGGAAACCAAUGAAAAAUUGGCAGUUGAGCAUAAAAUACUGUUUGACAAUUUAAACACAAUGGUUACAUUCAUGGAAAAUCUCAUUGCAACAAAUGGUGAAGGGACAACUAGCAAAGAGGAGGAGGAAUUAAUAAAUGAAAUGGUUUCUUCAGUGGACCAUCUAUUAAAUGAAGCACUGAAGUUUGAGGCAAACUUUGACAAUAAUUUACAGAUGAUUUUUGCCAAAGCUCGCAGAUGCAAUGAUGCUCUUAAAAGAAUCCUUGGUAGAAAAGACCAAGAUACAAAGCAACAGAAGAAAUGGGGGUGAUAAAGACUCUGAGUGAGGAAAUAAGUUAAACAAGUUGAAUGCUGAUGUCAUCUAUGAUCUUGAAUCAUUUUUAUAUACUGUACCUGUAUAUGUAUGGUGCAUGAAUGUUUCCCGUAAAUUUUAAGUAGUUCAUGUUCAUCUGUGCCUGAUUACUAGGUGCUGAAAUGAAUGUGUAAAAUUAUAUGCAGUAUAUAUAUAAUAUAUACACAAAAUGUGAAGUGAUUGUGAAAUAGGAUUGAGUUUUUUUUUUUUUUUCAAAAUUUUUUUGUUUUGCAUGCCCUAAAUAGUGCCUAAUUUAUCUUAUCUAUUUCUUUGAAAAUGCUGAUCAUUCUAUAGAGUGAAAUUUAUGUAUAUUGCAUUUAUUAGGAAAAGAAUGAUCAGCUGAUAUGGUAAAAUAUGUAUCUAAUAAAAUAUUUAAUUGCA